AUUCUGUGGUUCUCCGGGAAAGUCUGCCAUCCGUGCCAUAUCGUGCCAGGAGGCAGCAGGACCUGUCAACAACGCCCCCUCAAUACCACCUGCCCCCCAUCUUCCCUGCCCUCCCUCCGUCUUUCUGGGCUCCGUUGGAGCAGAGUUGGGAUCGAGACCGGGGUAGCCCCGGAGCCGGAGAAGAGGUAGAAGACGCCAGCCGCGCUGGGAAGAGAGUCGGGUUUAGACCUCCUCCGUCAGGGCGGGACGCGUGGCAGAAAGAUGGAGCGAACGCACGGGACCCGGGGACGAGGAGCACCAGAAGCGCAAGCUUCAAAGGGAAGCAGAGGGCCAGGGGCAAGUCAGACCCCACUGCCGGCUUGGGCUUUGCACACGUUCGAUAUUUCUCAACUUCUGUGGUGAAAGAUCUCGAAUCACAUUUCUAUGGCGGCGCCUUCCCGACAGGAAGAA